GAGGAAUAUUGCACAAUGGGCGAAAGCCUGAUGCAGCGACGCCGCGUGGGUGAUGAAGGUUUUCGGAUCGUAAAACCCUUUUCUGUGUGACGAGCAAGGACGGUAGCACAGGAAUAAGUGUCGGCUAACUACGUGCCAGCAGCCGCGGUAAUACGUAGGACGCAAGCGUUAUCCGGAAUUACUGGGCGUAAAGAGCGUGUAGGCGGUUGUCCAAGUCACCCGUGAAAGCUCCCGGCUAAACUGGGAGAGGUCGGGUGAGACUGGGCGGCUAGAGGGUUGUAGAGGGAUGUGGAAUUCCGGGUGUAGUGGUGAAAUGCGUAGAGAUCCGGAGGAACACCAGAGGCGAAGGCGGCAUCCUGGACAACACCUGACGCUGAGACGCGAAAGCGCGGGGAGCAAACGGGAUUAGAGACCCCGGUAGUCCGCGCCGUAAACGAUGUGUGCUAGAUGUUCGGUGUCCUACGGGAUAU
rnacentral:rRNA from 1 species